rnacentral:rRNA from 1 species
UACGGGGGGAGCAAGCGUUGUUCGGAUUUACUGGGCGUAAAGGGCGCGUAGGCGGCCACCGCAAGUCGACUGCGAAAUCUCCGGGCUUAACUCGGAAAGGUCAGCCGAUACUGCGGGGCUAGAGUGCAGAAGGGGCAACUGGAAUUCUCGGUGUAGCGGUGAAAUGCGUAGAUAUCGAGAGGAACACCUGCGGCGAAGGCGGGUUGCUGGGCUGACACUGACGCUGAGGCGCGAAAGCUAGGGGAGCGAACGGG